rnacentral:lncRNA from 1 species
CUGCAGCCGUCCUGUCCGGCCCUGGCAGGUGGAUAACGAGGUGCUGCAUGCCUCCCCCACAUGCCUUGGGUGCUACCAUGAGUCCAAAUGGGCUGGGUGCUGCUGCAAUGGCUGUGCUCCAGCCCCUCCCAGCUCUGCACUCCUUACUCUGCAAAGCAAGCCCACGGGUUAGGGAUGUUCCACCCACUCGGGUGCCACCCCAGGCUAACAUCUCAGCCAGAUCAUCAGCAGCUGGAAAAAAAAAAAAAAAAAAAAAAAGAGGGGAAAUGAUGGAAAAGCCAAUAGCCUCCUUAAAUAAGUGUAACAGCACCACUGGGCUUCGCCACAAUGAUCCUGUACUUGCAGGUUGUAUUUUUUCCUCUUUUUUUUUGCAGCGAUAUGUCAGGUUAAGCAGAGUAUAGAUGACACUCAACAGGUUCCAAAAAGACAAAUAAACAAAAAUUCCCUUGUAACCAAUUUUUCUUUUUCCCAUCAGAGAAAGCAAGGAGAAGUCAGUCUGCUGGAAACAAAAUUUCAUCCUGGGUAUGUAGGACUGCAAGUGUUUAAAGAUCCUUUGUAGUUAUAACUGCAGAAGAAAUUGCCCUGCUAUCUUUCCAUUUCUACUUGACACGCAUCCAAAAGAACAUCAAUAUUUCUCUUAAGACAUUGCCAGACUUGACUGCUGUGAAGCUGCUAUUAUUCUCCCCUUUCCUUUAAUUAUUUUCUUCUGUAUAUAGAAAUUUGUUUUCCUCAGCUGAUAAAUAUCAUCAAUUUAAGGAAUGCUACUAUCAUAUAACCACACGAAUAUAUUUAGCAUAUAGAAAGUGUGUUCUCCCUUCGUCAUUAUAAUAGAAAUACAACUUGAUUUAUAAUAAUGUUAUUGUCUCCUACAAGCCAUUCAUUUUUUCCAGUGGAAGGGCUGCAGGUGCUAAGAGAGGAGGUGGCAUUGCCAGAGCGUUCCAUUGCUGUUUCUUGCUGGGGAUUGCCCCCAUGGCUUUCUGAAACUGGUGGGGUAUCCUGAGGCCCUCUGGACCCCAGGUGGGAUGUAAGGGUUUGAAGGUUGCUCCUAUCUGUCAUGCCCAGCAAGCCACCAGCACCGCAUGGAUGCAUGAGCAUCCUUCCUGGGGUCCCCACUAUUACUGGGGUGCAGCCCACCUCCCCACACCACUGCCCCAUUGGAGCAGCUGAGAUCAGCUCAGCCUGCUGCUGGAAAGGGUUCCUCUGCUUACUUUGCAGAGCAGCAGCUGCAAGCACUGAGCUCCCCGGCUGCUGAGUCUCAGCUGAGGGUUGAGAGGUGAGAGCUUCCCAUCCUACAUCCACUCCUGCCUGCACCUAUUUGCAGCCCCUACACAGAGUUCAGCUGCUCUGUGAGCAGGACUGAGAGGUGGCAUCAUUCAUCUCAGCACACUCCCCGGGCUGGCAGCGCUGCAGCACAACGUAGCUGCUGAAAAUGCCUCUCACUGUCUGGGACAGGGAAAUUUCAGUCCUGGCAGUGAUGCACAUGUGCACACCAAGUUUGAUAUAAUGAAGUGAAAGCCACAUAGGGCUCCACUGACAAACACACCUGUAAUUUACCUUUGCUGCUCAGGGGAUUAUCCACCUGAGGAAAUCUCUGUCCAUCUCUACAGCUGCUGCUUGCAGUGCACUGUGCCUUUGCCAGAGCUCUCCAUCAGCGACUCCAGUGUUUGCAAAUUCCCAUUUGCAGUUUUUCCCUGACUCCUGCGCUCUGUUCUGAAAUGGCCGCUCAGAAACACACGCAGCUUGGUUUUUUCCCCUCUUCCUUUUGUAAGGGAGGCAUUUGUUUAAUGAGACGUUGAUGGAUCUGAGCUGCCAGCUGGAAUUGUCUCGGUGGUUUUGUGGUUUCUCAGCAGCAGCUUUUAUUCCUGAGCUGUGGUUCUCCAGCCCACACUUCGCAUGGCAACCCAUGCUGAAGCCCUCAGGUGAAGUGAUUUCUGCCCUCCUUCUUCCAGUAUCUCUUAGUGCUCUGAGGUCCAUAGGGUUGCCCUGCUGCUGGCACAGCCCACUGUUCUGGUCCCACACAUAGCAUCCAGAGAUAUACCACAACAUACCACAACAUACAGAAAAGACUUUUGGCUCAAGUAGUAAAUCUUAAAAAAAAAAAAAAAAAAACACCCUUACUGUUAUUUCUUGAAUUAUUGUCUCACCUUGAAUAUAUGGAACUUAAAGUGCUGAUUUUAACUUUAAUUUGUUCAUUACCAGAGGCCUUUUCCCCCGGACUGUGUCCCAAAGUGAUGCUUGUGCAUCAGGUGCAGGUAUGGCAUGAUCCGUGGCAUUGUACAAAGUACCCUGCAGUUGUUGUAUUCCUGGAUCCAUCUUCCUACAAGACAAAAGAUGUCAGGACAAAAGAAGAUAGCAAAUGGUAUCCUGGGCUCCAUCAGCAGAGGAGUGGCCAGCAGGAGCAGGGAGAUGAUUGUUCCUCUCUACUCUGCUCUUGUGGGGCCCCAUCUGGAGUAUUGCGUCCAGGUCUGGAGCCCCCAUACAAGAAAGACAGGGAGCUGUUGGAGAGGGUCCAGAUGAGGGCCACAGAGAUGAUCAGAGGGCUGAGCACCUCCCCCAUGAAGGCAGGCUGAGGAAGCUGGGCUUGUUCAGCCUGGAGAAGAGAAGGCUGCGGGGUGACCUCAUUGCAGCCUUUCAGUACCUGAAGGGAGCCUAUAAACAGGAAGGGAGUCAACUCUUUCAAAGGGUGGAUAACAGCAGGAUGAGGAGAAAUGGUUUAAAGUUGAAGGAGGGAAGAUUUAGGUUGGAUGUCAGGGAAAGAAUAUUUACUAAGAGAGUGGUGAGGUGCUGGAACAGCUGCCCAGAGAGGCUGUGGAUGCCCCGUCCAUCCCUGGAGGUGUUCAAGGCCAGGUUGGAUGGGGCCCUGGGCAGCCUGGGCUGGUAUGAAAUGUGGAGGUUGGUGGCCCUGCCUGUGGUGGGGGGUUGGAG